GACGAACGCUGGCGGCGUGCUUAACACAUGCAAGUCGAACGGAAAGGCCUGCUUUCCCUUGUGGAUUGCGGGUACUCGAGUGGCGAACGGGUGAGUAACACGUGAGUGAUCUGCCCCCAACUUGGGUAUAAGCCUGGGAAACUGGGUCUAAUUCCCGAUAGGACUGCAGGGUGGUGCCUGUGGUGGAAAACGAUUUUCUAGUGGUUGGGGAUGAGCUCGCGGCCUAUCAGCUUGUUGGUGGGGUAAUGGCCUACCAAGGCGGCGACGGGUAGCCGGCCUGGGAGGGUGGACGGCCACAUUGGGACUGAGAUACGGCCCAGACUCCUACGGGAGGCAGCAGUGGGGAAUAUUGGACAAUGGGCGGAAGCCUGAGGCAGCGACGCCGCGUGGGGGAUGACGGCCUUCGGGUUGUAAACUCCUUUCGACCGCGAGGAAGCCACCUGGUUGGAAGGGUGGUGACGGUAGUGGUAGAAGAAGCACCGGCUAACUACGUG
rnacentral:rRNA from 1 species